rnacentral:rRNA from 1 species
CCCUUAGAUGUCCUGGGCCGCACGCGCGCUACACUGAGUGUCUGAGAUACGAGUCUGCCUGGUCCGGCAAGGUCUAGGUAAUCGCUAAAAGACACAUCAUGCUUGGGAUAGAUUAUUGCAAAUAUUAAUCUUGAACGAGGAAUUCCUAGUAAGCGCAAGUCAACAGCUUGCGUUUAUUACGUCCCUGCCCUUUGUACACACCGCCCGUCGCUACUACUGAUUGGAUGUUUAAGCGAGGUUCUCGAACUGCUAGCGACUUAGCUUCGGUGAGGCCGCAGUGUGGGAAGUGAACCUAGCUUUGGUGUCUAGAGGAAGUAAAAGUCGUAACA